CUCUUAUUAAACGAAAAAAUUCAGCCAAAGGCUGAGUUCAAGAACGAGGUUAAAAUUAAAUUUCAAACCUGUUUCGAGCACCCCAGGCCGAGGGUUACUUUAUUGAACAAAUUUCAACGCUGUCAACAGUAAACGAGUUUAUCCCCAAGCUUGAAAAUGCUUCAUGUAAUCGGCACAUACUAGAGUUAUUAUUAAAAGAGCAUAGAUUUAGCCAAAUUUGAAUAAAUGAACAUUCACACAAUCUCAAAGCCCCAAACCGCUCUCGAAUACACAAUUCCCAUUAUAGACUAAUUUUAAAACUAGGCAAGGAGAUGCAAAUUAAUCACCACAGCUAGAAAGAGCAUACUAAAAUGAGUAACAUUGCAAAUCUUGGUUGCGAAAUGUUGUAAAAUGCGGAAAACAUAGCAAAUAUUGUAUACUGUUGUAUUGCGUGCGGAAAUUGCUACCACAUUUGGGCCGAAAAUGUAGCAAUUUCCGCACGCAAUACAAAAGUAUACAAAAUUUGCGAACUUUGCAAGGCUAUAUGUUCCGCAUUUUACAACAUUUCGCAACUAAACUUUGCAAUUUUACUCAUUUUAGUAUGCUCUUUCUAGCUGUGGUGAUUUAUAAUUUGCAUCUCCUUGCCUAGUUUUAAAAUUACUCUAUAAUGGGAAUUGUCUGUUAUUGUGUAAACACACGCAGGAAGUGGCCUUCUGUUUUUAAUAUUCCCCAAAAUCUGAAAUACCCAACAUGAACAUCAUUGGUAAGCUACUAGUCUAUAAAUUUUGUGUAUCUUGUCCAAAUCUUUGUCAUCCAGAGGCCAGUUUAAUAUCUUCAAGAUAGCGACAAACGUCUAUUUAAUAGCCCUUCCGACAGCAUGUUCGCUUUGAAUUCUGCAUGUGUUGACAGUGUAGUAAAAGGCAGUCAAGCACUUCUCUCCUUGUGUUUCAGCCUCCUUCAAUCAUACAUCUUAUUCAUCAUAUUCUAACACUUUAUCGUGGCAACAAAACAAUUCAAUAUCCUUUGGCUUCAAUGUGCAAUGCGCCAAGCAUUUUCGACCUCAAACACAUGGUGAUUUCCUCGUCAGACUAUUCACUCUGUUCUUCGGAGUCGCUCUUGUCAUCGCUAUCGCUUGUUUCUAAGCCCAGUUUAGGUUCAAAU